UACGGAGGGUGCAAGCGUUAUCCGGAUUCACUGGGUUUAAAGGGUGCGUAGGAGGGCAGGUAAGUCAGUGGUGAAAGCCCGGAGCUUAACUCCGGAACUGCCAUUGAUACUGCAAGUCUUGAGUACACUUGAGGUGGGCGGAAUACAUCAUGUAGUGGUGAAAUACUUAGAUAUGAUGUAGAACACCGAUUGCGAAGGCAGCUCACUAAAUUGUAACUGACGCUGAGGCACGAAAGCGUGGGGAUCAAACAGG
rnacentral:rRNA from 1 species